GUCUCAAUCAUGUGGACAUCUUUGGGAAUGGAGGGAAAAAUAAGUGAUGGUAUGGUCGUUGCUUUUUACGUUUCAAACUGAUCCUCCCGGCAGGCUGAGCCUGCCUGAGCGUCGGAUCCCCGCAGCACCGUUCCUGGGAAGGUGGGGCCCGGCUUCUCCCCGAAUAACUGGGAGAUGAAACAGGAAGCCCUGUGACACACUUGAUCGAAAAUGGCACAGACACAGAAAAAUCAGGACUCAGCCCCCUCCGGUGCCUCACCUGCCGCCCACAGCCAGAAUGCAGGUGAAGGGUUCACCCUGGGAUGCGGUGCUAACAGCUGUGCACUCCUAGAGCCUCCACGUUCGCGGGUGAUGUGUCUGCGAUGACACGGCCACAGUCUGGUCUGAUGGGCAAAGUGAGGAACAGGAGGCUCCAAGACUUGACUGAGGUGUGCAGCCGCUGUCAACUCUCCUACCCCCAUGCGAACUGGGACCUUACAAGGAGACUCUCAGGAGGCUCUACAUGAUGGAUGCAUAAAGUUCUCCUUGAAUAUCCAGGAAACAAGGGCAACAAGGAAGCCACUAGUUGGAUAAUUCUCACGAUCCCAAGAAUGUCCUGAUUCCUCUCAAGAACUGAGGAGAUGAAUUCUCAGCGAAUGUCCCCUUUGAAGCAAAGCUAUAUCAUGAUGAAAUAUGUCAUGGGUAUCCUUUCAAAAAAUUCUUCCUGACUCAUAGCUGUGAUAAAAAUUGUACCAAGCAUGGGUGGGGACACAGAAACAUGAGCUGGAUUUCUGUACUUGGGUUACUAAUGGCAACCCAGGAAGUCAGCUGGCCCAGAGAUGUACAGAACAAGAACCUAUGGGUGGUGGUGGGAGAGUGAGGGAGGAGACAGGUGCUAAGGAACGGGGUAUAUGGCCCUUCCACCUUUAGUAAGAGCACCCCAAAUCCUGGCAGUUUUCACAGGGCUCUACAGUCUGGCUCCCAGCCUCUGCCACCAUUGGGUCGCAGCACGUGUGGCUGGUCUCCCACGUUGCCUGGGGGCUCAAACCCAGAGACAAACCCCAGCCCCUCUCUGAUGUCCUACAAAAUCUCCUGUUCAAGAGACAUGUGUGUAUGUGACACGCUUUACUGCAUGGUGAGUGUGGAAUGCCUGGCUCAUAGAAGGUAUCCCUAUAAUCUUCAUCAGAGGAAUUAAUUGGGGGACUACAAACUGAAUGCUAGAGUAGACAUUUUUGUUCUUGGAAGUCUCCAGCUCUCCACCCCCGAGGGUGGAGGCCUCAUCACUCUGGGGGCCUCAUCACGCAUCACAGCCCUCCCUGUUGGUGCCUCAGAGAGACCCGUCUGCUCCUCAUGGGUCUCAAUUAGUCCCUAUGCUCCUCCAGCUCCCUGCUGGGACUGAGGCACUCAGUCGGCCUGCUCCUCCACCCCAUGCGCUCGGGGCAGGCAUCCGUGGGUGGGGUCCCCUCUGGCCCAUACCCCCACCACCAGGAAAGGAGGAGGAAGCAUCUGGGUGGGAAGGAGGUGGUGGGUUCCUCCAGACAUGAGUGGCCUCGCACCACUGCCUUGCACCUCGUGGCCUGGGCUUCUCUGCUGGAGCCGAUGUUCUGGCAGAACGGCUUCCUCUUGGCCCAGUUCCCAGGAUACCAGGUAACUGGGUCGUUAUCAGGGAAGCUGAAGCCAGCCUCCGGUGCAGGCACUCUGCCCCAUCUGACCUUCUCCCGGGGCUUCUGUCUAGUGGGGCCAUGUUGUCCUUUCUUUGCACAAACCCAAACUGCUCACUUUCUCAAAACAGCAAUAGUUUUAGGGAUCAUUACUUGUAGUAAACGUGUAAAGGGCAGCAGGAGAAUGGCUAAUGUGAGAGUCUGGAGGUCCUCACCUCCGGCCAAGGGAAGGUGGAAGGCACUGGGGGGCACGCCAGGACCUUCUGUAG